AUUGAACGCUGGCGGCAUGCCUUACACAUGCAAGUCGAACGGCAGCACGGGAGCUUGCUCCUGGUGGCGAGUGGCGCACGGGUGAGUAAUACAUCGGAACGUACCCAGAAGUGGGGGAUAACGUAGCGAAAGUUACGCUAAUACCGCAUAUUCUGUGAGCAGGAAAGUGGGGGAUCGCAAGACCUCACGCUUUUGGAGCGGCCGAUGUCGGAUUAGCAAGUUGGUGAGGUAAAGGCUCACCAAGGCGACGAUCCGUAGCGGGUCUGAGAGGAUGAUCCGCCACACUGGGACUGAGACACGGCCCAGACUCCUACGGGAGGCAGCAGUGGGGAAUUUUGGACAAUGGGGGCAACCCUGAUCCAGCCAUGCCGCGUGAGUGAAGAAGGCCUUCGGGUUGUAAAGCUCUUUCGCGAGGGAAGAAAGCGCACUGGUUAAUACCUGGUGUGGAUGACGGUACCUUGAUAAGAAGCACCGGCUAACUACGUGCCAGCAGCCGCGGUAA
rnacentral:rRNA from 1 species